UUCAUUAAUUGUAAUAGAAUUAUUACUAUCAUUGUCAUUGUCAUUAUAUAUUUUUGUAAUUAAUGGCUUAUGGUAACUGAAAUAUGAAAUAUAUGGUUUACAUUCCACGAAAUUUAGUGACCGAGUAAAAACUCCAUCAAUUGUAGUGCCAGAUCUUGUUGUUGACGUUUGAGGACUGUUUUUCAUGGAUAAAUUCAAUUUAUCUUUCAGAAAUUCAACUAGCUUCAAAGAAUUUUCCGAUGCAAAAUUUACAUUAAAAUCUCCACUUAAAAUCAUCGGUAUUUUAUAAUUAUUGUUACCGAGUAAAGAGGCACCUUCACUUGUGUACGGCAACAAUGAAUGGUGAAGAAAAAGAUGGCGCGUAACGGAAAAAUGUGACGCGUAACCGAAAAAUGUGACGGGAUAGUAUGGUCGGGAACUGAACCUGUCACUAACCACAUGAUCAACAAAGCGGUGCAUCGAAUUUGAAAUAAUUCUUAAGAUUAAAAAUAAAGAAAUAAUAUAUUAAA